rnacentral:lncRNA from 1 species
GGCGGACCGUGGCGGCGUGGGUGAAGCCGCAGCUGUUGGAGCGUCUCCUGCAUCUGUCCCUGGCCUAAACCCGACGCUAGGCUGGAGGGAGCGACUGCGGGCCGGGCUGGCGGGGACUGGGGCCUCGUUGUGGUUCGUGGCGGGGCUGGGGCUGCUUUACGCCCUGAGGAUCCCUUUGAGGCUGUGUGAGAAUUUGGCAGCGGUGACUGUAUUUUUAAAUUCAUUGACACCCAAAUUCUAUGUGGCACUUACAGGGACCUCUUCAUUGAUAUCAGGACUAAUAUUUAUAUUUGAAUGGUGGUACUUCCAUAAGCAUGGCACAUCUUUUAUUGAGCAAGUAUCUGUAAGCCAUUUGCAACCACUGAUGGGAGGAACAGAGAGCAGCAUUUCAGAACCAGGUUCUCCUUCGAGGAACAGAGAAAAUGAAACCAGCAGACAGAAUUUGUCAGGGUCUUUGGGAGGUGAUCAGGUCAUGAGGGCAGUGCCCUCAGGGAUGUGAUGAAUGCCCUUAUGAGAGACCCCAGAGAGCUGCUUGCCACUUCUACCGUGGGAGGACACCACGAGAAGGCGCCGUCUGUGAACCAGAAAGCAGACCCUCACCAGACACCAAAUUUGUUGGUACCUUGGUCAUAGACUUCCCAGCCUCCAGAACUGUUAAAAAUAAAUUUAUACUGUUUAUAAUCUA